UACGGAGGGUGCAAGCGUUAUCCGGAUUCACUGGGUUUAAAGGGUGCGUAGGUGGGCCUGUAAGUCAGCGGUGAAAUCUCCGGGCUUAACCCGGAAACUGCCAUUGAUACUAUAGGUCUUGAAUUAUCUGGAGGUAAGCGGAAUAUGUCAUGUAGCGGUGAAAUGCUUAGAUAUGACAUAGAACACCAAUUGCGAAGGCAGCUUACUACGGAUCGAUUGACACUGAGGCACGAAAGCGUGGGGAUCAAACA
rnacentral:rRNA from 1 species